UACAGAGGGGGCAAGCGUUAUUCGGAAUUAUUGGGCGUAAAGGGCGCGUAGGCGGCUGCGCAAGUUCAAGGUGAAAUCCCUCGGCCCAACCGAGGAACUGCCUUGAAUACUGCGCGGCUUGAGGCCGGGAGAGGGUGGUGGAAUUCCCAGUGUAGCGGUGAAAUGCGUAGAUAUUGGGAGGAACACCAGUGGCGAAGGCGACCACCUGGACCGGUUCUGACGCUGAGGCGCGAAAGCGUGGGGAGCAAACAGG
rnacentral:rRNA from 1 species